rnacentral:lncRNA from 1 species
AGAAGUAAAGGAUUUUGUGGUUUGUUUGUUUUUUUCCUUGCCCUGUGAUUACUGGGUCCAAAUUUUAACCCUGUUGUUUUGGGUUAUUAUCUGUCCUGUCAGGUGGAGGAGGACACGUGUGUUGGUGAGUUAAGAGGGGCAACGUGAGCAGGAAUGAGGUAAAUCCAAUCAUUUUAGGCCUAUAAAUCGUAUAGGUCUGAAGAUCCCUUGGUUCUGUGAGAACAGUAAAAGGUCUCGGCUGAGUGGUUGCCAUGGUCUUAGCCCUCCCGGACACAGAAGGACAAUAAAGACUUAAUUCCAAGAAAUAGAAAGUCAAACUAGCAAAGCCACUGAAAGAAAACAACUCAGGCUAAUUUUCACAGAAUCUGUUAGUUAACUGCCUUUUAUGGCUCUUCCAAAUAUCACGGUCUAUGGGACAGAGAACCCUGAGGCAUUUUUUUUCCCAAUAGAGUUCAGACAUCAGAAACCUCUCCAAAGUGAGGACAAGCGUGAUCACGAAGCUCUCUCUUGCUGGUGUGGUGGGCGUGACUUUUAGAAGGGAGACACCAAAAUACUUCACCUGGAAAAUGUCAUAAUAUGAGGACUUAUAUUUAGACCUUAACUUUGCUAAUAAAUUUCUUUUCUGAUUUCUCCUGCCCUCUUUUCAACCUCAAAAGUCACAGGGGCGUAGAGCAAAAAUCACUGCACCAUAAUAUAAAGGAGGUAGCCCUGGGCACAGCACUGCUGCUUCUAAACUCUGGGUCCUUGGACAAGCCAUCUCUGCUCCCAGAGCCUCAGACCUCUACUUGCUUUCCUGCUACUUCAAACAGUGGUAGUGAGAGCCAAAUUCGAUGUAUGUGAAGACGUUUCGCCACUUAUGUGUGCCCUAUGUGGACACAAAGCAUGAUUAUUAAUAUAACACUGACCAACUAAAAGGGUCCAGACAUCAUUUUCUCAUUCAAAGGACUGAGGAGUAGAGAGUAAAAGAAAUCACAGUGCAUUUCUGAAUGCACUUUUGAAGUUGUGGGAGGCAAACUGAACUAAAAAGAGUAGACUCUGGGAACAGCCAGACAUGAAUCCAAACACUACCAUUUUGCAGAUCUCGUAUCUGCUCUGUGCUCUAUGAUGUUAUCUGUAAAGGGAAGAAUCUCUUUGCAAAAUGCCUGAUGAAGAGUAUGGACACAAUAAAUAACUUACACCUCUAAAGUUCUUCACAAAAAAAACAGAGAUAGAAGACACUCCUUAGCCAUAAGGGCCAAAGUUGUAAUAGGAGCACAUUUCAAGGUAAAUACUGAAUAUAAUUAUUUUAAAAUUAACAAAAUCUUUAUAAUUAACUGCAGCUAUGCACUAAUUCUUAGUCCAAAGAAUGUUGAGGAGUUGAUUUGUCAUGGAGAGGAGACACUUUCUUGAAUAAAACUGUAGGACAGCAAAUUGCAAUAUCAUUUUAAAUCACGUUACCCUUGUGUAACACCAUCAACCAUGGAUUGUAUUAACCAAAACAUUUUUUUAAAUACUCUUUUUUUGUUGUUUAAAGAUGUUGAUGGACCUUUAUUUUAUUCAUUUAUUUAUGUGUGGUGCCCAGAAUUGAACCCAGUGCCUUGCACAUGCUAGGCAUGUGGCUCUGCCACUGAGCCCCAGCCCCAGCCCUUUAUCAAAACAUUUUAAAAAAUUAAAAUCAAUGUUUUUAAUUAGUUUCCUUUGCUAUUUAACCAGCCUGUUUUGGAAGCAUUUGUGUGUCAUGAUCCUAACCCAUUUUUCUGUUUAAUGAUUAUUUUUCUGAUUCCUUAUCUAUUUAUUUUUCUUCAAUUUUUACUCAGUCUCUUGAUACAGGUCAGGAAAUUGAAGCAGUUCCACAAGAUAAAUUUUAUCCAAUUUCAUGAAAUUCUGCAUAUUUUGCAAGAAUCCAACUCUGCUAUCUAUAAGAUUGGUGUUUAAAAUAUCCUGCAGCUUGUAAAAGACAGACUGGAAAAACGUUGUCUUGGGCAGAGAUGAUCAUUCAAGCUAAGCAGGAAGGUUGUUUCAGAGAGGAAAAAUUGUGUGAGUAUUUGGUUCAUUGAUAAAUAGUUUCAAGUAAUGACAAACUUUUCCUCUCUGUAUAACCAUGGAAUAUAUUUCUUCAUGUUUAAUCAUGGCGUAAAGGAAUUUGGGUAAUAAAAACUGGAUAUGAAGGAAAUCUGAUAAUUCUACUUUUUCUUUUUAAAUAUUUUUUGGUUGUUGGUGGACAUUUAUUUUAUUUAUUUGUAUAAAUCGAACCCAGUGCCUCACACAUGCUUGGCAAGCACGUUACCACUGAGCCACACCCCCAAUCCCUAAUUCUACUUUUUCUAACAAAGAAUUUGUUUGUGAAUUUCUUGGCCCAGUUGUAGUGGAUUUAGUCUGAAUCUCAUUUACUCUCACCUAAAUGAGGAGCACUUGCUUGUAAUUCCCCAGUCCGAGUGAAGGGAUAUUUACUUUGCCUCUUAAGACCAGUUUCACUAAUAUGUUCCUCUGUCAAACACCAUUCUGUGCUGUUCUUCUUAUAAAUAUGCUGCAAAUAUAUGGAAAAUGUGAUAUUUUUAGUAGUUUAAUUUAGACAAAAUUGAAAAGUGAUGAUUCAUUAAAUCCAUUAUUUGUAUGGGUAAAGAGAAUAGUUUAUUUCUUGUCAUGGUACCUAAAUCAAAAGGUAAGAUUAAAAGACUGGGUGUCAUGGAUUGGAUGUGGUUUGUCCCCACAUGACUCAUGUGUUGGAGGCUCGGUCCCCAAGGUGGUGGUGUUGAGGGGUGCUGUGGACCUUAAGAGGUGUUGCCUAGUGGGAGAUCCAUAGGCCAUUGAGGGUGCUGCCCUCGGGAAGGGAUUACAAUAUUUCUCCUGAGAUGCCUGGCUUAGUUCUUGAGAGAGGGUUGUUAUAAAAGGAGCAAGCCUGGCUCCUUCUUUUCCCUCUGGCUUCCUGUUUUGUGAUAUGAACUUUUGCUCACUGUACACCCUGUCAUGAUGCCAUCUGCCAUUAGACCCUCACCAGAGACCAAACCAAAGAGGCCACCUUGUGUUGGACUUUCAGCCUUCAAAACUGUGAGCUGAAUAAAACCUUUCUCUUCUCUUCCCAUCCCCCACCCUCUCUCCAUACUAGGGAUUCCACCCAGGGCCUCAUGCAUGCCAUGCAAGUGUUUGUUCUACCACUGAGCUACAUCCCCAGCCCCUUAUGUAUGUAUGUAUGUAUGUAUGUAUGUAUGUAUGUAUGUAUUGAGACAGGGCCUCACUAAAUUGUUCAGGCUGGCCUGGAAAUUGCAAUCCUCUUGCCUUAGUCUCCUGAGUAGUUGGGAUCAUAGGCAUGCACCCCCACACAAGGCUAAAUCUCUUUUUAAAAAUAAAGUUAGCCUGCCUCAGGUAUGUUAUUAUAGUAAUGCAAAAGGACUAAUGCACUGGGAAAAGGUAUUUGCAAUAGAUAUAUCCAUUAAAAGACUUGUAUCCGGAUUUCAAUGUAAUUUUUUAAAAAUGAGCAAGACUUUAACAGGCACUUCACUAAAGAGGGUAUCCAAAUGACUAUUAGACAAAUGGAAAGGUGCUUGACAUCAUUAAUCAUCAAGGAAAUGCAAAUUCAAACUUCAAUGAGAUACCGUCAUACCUCUGCCAGAUGGCUAAAAUCAAAAGGACUGCUGAUAGCAUUUAUUGGUGUAAGUGUGGUACAACUAGAACUCUCAGAAAUUGCUGAUAAGACUACAAAUUGUAAAACCAGUUGGGAAAGCUGCUUGGUAGUAUUUAAAGAUAAAUAUAUGUAUAUUCUAUUACCCAGUAAUUCUUUUUUCCACAUUUCAAUUGGUGCAUUAUAGUUGUACAUGACAGGAUUUGUUGUUACACAUUUGUACAUGUACAAAUACAACAACAUAAUUUGGCUGAUGUCGUACCCCAGACAUCCCUGCUCCCUCCCCACCUUCUACCCCCUUGUUCCUCUACUGAUGUCCCUUUGAAUUUUAUGAGAUCCCUGCCUCUCUACUUUCUUUUCCUUUUAUCUCCCUAGCUUCCACAUAUGAAAGAAAACAUUCAACCCUUGACUUUCUGAGUCUGAUUAAUUUUGCUUAACAUAAUGGUUUCUAGUUCUGUUGGUUUUCCUGCACAUGACAUAAUUUCAUUUUUCUUUAUGGUUAAAUAAAACUCAGUUGUAUAUAUCUACCACAUUUUCUUUACCCAUUCAUCUAUUGAUGAAUGGCUGGUUUCAUAGUUUGGCUAUUUUGAAUUGUGUUGCUAUGAAUAUGUAUUACCUAGAAAUUCUACUCCUGAAUAUAUACCUAACAGAAAUAUAGUCAUUCCCCCUUAUCUACAGUUUUGUUUUCCAUCAUUUCAAUCACCCACAGCCAAUUGUGGUCUGAAAAUAUUAAUACAGUGUAAUGAAGAAUUAAGGUAUUUUGAGAGACAGAGAGCACAUAUUCACCUAACUUUAUUCCAGGAAAUUAUAAUAAAUAUUUUUUAUUUAUUAUUAUUAAUCUCUUAUUGUGGAUAAUUUAUAAAUUAAAUUUUAUCAUAGGUAUAUAUAUAAUAUAUAUAUAAACAGUAUGUAUAUAAACAUAUAUAGUAUGCAUAUAUGUAUACAUAUACUAUAAGGUUAUGAAUCUGUAACAUACUCUAGGUUUCAGUAUAUAUACAUACAUUGUAGGGUUCAGUACUGUUGGUGGCUUCAGGCAGCCAGUGGGGAAGGGGUGUCUCAGAUCACAUCCCCUGUAGAAAAUGAGGGGACUACUCAUUUUUGGUGGCCUAUGUCCACCAAAACAGGUAUGAGAAUGCCUGGGACUUUAUUAAUAAUAGCACAAAACUUGAAACAAUUCAGUAAAUAGAAUGGAUGAUAAACUUCAUGAUAGUCACACAAUUGAAUACUACAAAGAAGUGAAAAUGAACUACUGAGAUAUCUACCAAAGAAACCAGACAUCACAAUAUAUAAUGCAUGACCUGUGCAAUGUUCAAAAGCAGAGAAAACUUCAUCAACAGUGGUAGAGAGGAGACCACAGUUAUCCUAGGUGGGAGAGAUAUUGACUGUGAGGUGACACAUGUGGACCUUCUGUGGUGUUGAAGAUAUUCCAUGGCUGUACUCUCAAGCCCUGUGAACUUUGUAUGCAAAUUAUAUAUCAAUUAUAUGUUAUAUAAAUAUAUAAUAAAGUGGAAAAAGCUAGCAGUAAGUGAAAAUUCUGUUGCAGAAGAACCUUUAACUUUGAAUGUAAAUGUUUUUUGUUCUUAAUAAUGUAGCACAUUUAACUAGCUUAAAAAUACUAUGCUUUAAUAAAAAAAACUGGAAAAACAUUUAAUAAAUUGUUAAUAGUAGAAUUGUAGGAUGCUUUUAUUGCCAUCUUUAUGCUAUUCAAUAUUUUUUCAAUUAUCUAUGAAAUUCAUAAUCAGAAAAACAUGUAAAUAAUGUUUUAAGAUAUCUACUAAGAAUAACAUCUCAUUUAAAUGUUUUAUUAAGCAGUAUUGAUAUUAAACAUUUUUCCUUCUUGCACACUUUUUUAAUAAAAGAGAAUUUCUAGGUGUAGUGGCACGUCCUUGUGUACUCAGAGACUCAGAAGGCUGAGACAGGACCCCCUUGGCAACUUAGUGGGACCAUCUGUUAGGGUCUGUAAACAAGUCAGGAUGGCGCCUGGCAAAUGUUAGAGUCUGUAAACAAGUCAGGAUGGCUCCUGGUAUUUUGCCAGGGGGGAGUAGUUUGUGAGGUGGCGCCAGUGAGCCAUUAAGUGUGGAGCUUCCUUAUUGGUUGACUGCUGUAUCUAGUUUAUGUUAAUUAAGAUAAGCUGUGUGGAAUGUAUAAAUACCUCUGUUGUCCUACAAUAAACGACUCCCAAUCCUGCUGUAUCAAUCUGCACAAAUUGUUCGUCACCCCCCGGUUAUUCUGCUGCAGCCGGACUGCGGCAACCAUCAUCAACUUAGUGGGACCUUGUUUCAAAAUUUUUUAAAAAUUUGAAAAAUGGCUGGGAAUAUAGUGGUGAAGUGCCUCUGGGUUCAGUCCCCAGUACAAAAAGGGGGUGGGGGUGAGAAAUAAAUAAAAGUAUGUUUCUUUGGGCUAAUUCUAUUUUGAAUAAUAUACACUGAAAAAGUGUGUCUCUAUAUUUCUCGUAUUAAAACCAUUUGCAAGAUUGUAUUGUUCUUGCUUUAUUGGAAAGCACUUUACCUGGUGUUAAGCAUUGAGUGCAGGUCUCACUUCUCGAGUUCCCA